AGCUUCAACUCCAUUUGAGCUUUGGCCACAUGAAUUUUCUCCCUACAGUGAUUUGAAGUCAACGGGAUGACCACGACUUACUGAAAACAGCAUUUUGCCAAUGCUGAUGCUGUUGAAAAUCUCAUCUUUAAAGCUCUGUGGAAGUAAUUGGGCAGUAAAGCUGUUAUGAUCAGUAACUGUAACAUCAGAAUGCCUAGAAAUAUGGUCAGGAUGCAUACUUUUGCUUUGCAGUUGGAAUUGUAGCAUUCUUGAAAGAUUUCAUAAAGUCUGAAUAUUCAUUUCUGUUGGGAGAAGCUAAGGAUCUUCUGGUAGAGCAAAUUUUUCUCUUGUUUGGAGCACAGCAAAAUAGGACCUGGAAAAUCACAGAAUUAUAGCAUUUUAAUUUUUUAAAAAAUUGGUUUCUUCAUUUGUUUGUAUGGUUUUGUACAAAUAUUAGAGACUAAAUGUUUUAUUUCAGCUCUUUUGAUUUCCUUUAAAACCAUUGCCAACUUGAGCACAAGAUGAUAUAUGAAAUCAAACAUUCCUUUCUGAAAAUGUAAUACUAUGCCAUUUACCAAAUCAAGUACUUCCAGUUCUCAUUAGCCUUAGAAUAAAAUAUUCUGGGGUUUAGGCAAAAAUCAUCUAUCCUAUUAUGGAUAUGCCAUUUUCUGCAAAAUUAUAUUUCAACUAGUACCUGGAAUAUGGCUAACCUACCUGUCUUUGCCUUGAAAAUAAAAAAAAAAAAUAACCUUCAUUUUACCAUUUUGUCUUCCCAAAUUUGAACUAUAUAAAUAUGGUUUGUCUUGUUGAAAAGUAGUACUAUUUAACUAAAUUAGCAAAUAAUCAGAGCAAUAACAAACACAUAACUGUUUUCCCACUGGGUUUCUUACUGCCCUUCCAGCUACUCAGCCUUAUUUGUUCUUGGCAAUUCUGCAAUUAUGCAGCUUUAAGUCAAAGUUAUACAACACGCACCCGCUUCCAUCUCAUGUCUUGCUCCAGUAUGUCCCCAAUUUACACUUUUUCUUUCCAUUUACCAAGAAUAUUACACAUUUCCCACUGUAAAAAAAUGCCCAACUGACUGAAAGAAUAUGCUAAAAUAGCAGUGGGGCAAGAGAGAGGCCAAAGAAAAUGGAGUCAGUCCUACUGGAAUAUGAUAUGUAAUCUCUAACUUUUUAUAUUUUGUGAGGUUAGAAGGUUUCCCAUUGUAAUACAGUAACAUACAAUAUCUUGGAUACUUCUAUACCUUCAGUUUGACCAUUCACAAUAGAAUAAUUUUGACUGAGAUCUACAAAAUCUGACUGUC